rnacentral:lncRNA from 1 species
UUUUCUUUUAAUUAAUAAAAGUCUUAUUAUUUGUCUCCAGAUUUUCUUCUUAUAGAUUCUAUCUGUGUUAUAUCAGUGCCUAUUUGAGACAAUGCUAUGCAUCAGAAGAUCCUCCUCUAUAGUGAUUCCAAUAACAAGCCAUGAAUGUCUUAGCACUCUAAAAACAGUAUCAUUACAUCAGCAAGAAGCAACUGGCUAGUAGUACAAGUCGGUAUGGAUCCAUACCGGACCGAACCAGCGCAAACCGACAUAGA